CGAAUUCUGUCGGGGUGCUCUUGCUGCAAUGCAGAGCUGAGAUCGCAUAAGCGGAUCCCGUUGAACCUGAUCUGGUUAAAGCCAGCGUAGGAAACAGAAAAGCCGUUGUU
rnacentral:ncRNA from 2 species